rnacentral:rRNA from 1 species
AGCGAACGCUGGCGGCCGGCCUAACACAUGCAAGUCGAACGAACCUUUCGGGGUUAGUGGCGGACGGGUGAGUAACACGUGGGAACGUGCCUUUAGGUUCGGAAUAACUCAGGGAAACUUGUGCUAAUACCGAAUGUGCCCUUCGGGGGAAAGAUUUAUCGCCUUUAGAGCGGCCCGCGUCUGAUUAGCUAGUUGGUUGAGGUAAUGGCUCACCAAGGCGACGAUCAGUAGCUGGUCUGAGAGGAUGAUCAGCCACAUUGGGACUGAGACACGGCCCAAACUCCUACGGGAGGCAGCAGUGGGGAAUCUUGCGCAAUGGGCGAAAGCCUGACGCAGCCAUGCCGCGUGAAUGAUGAAGGUCUUAGGAUUGUAAAAUUCUUUCAACGGGGACGAUAAUGACGGUACCCGGAGAAGAAGCCCCGGCUAACUUCGUG